UAAUAUCACUACACCGUAUUUCUCCAGUGAUGUAUUUUCUCUGUUCAUGACUAACAAUUGAGAAUUCACUGAGGAUCCAGAAGUACUUGACUCUGUGACAGCUGUUCCUGUGCUGGCACAGAAAUUAAGAGCUGGAUUGUCCUUGGGGUCUUCUUUGAGUACCAAGACCUGUCAGAGCUGACUCCAGCCACUUAUCUAAAUAUAACCACCACUCUGAUAAUACAGCACCAAAACUUACUACAACUCAGUCUUCCUCUCCUUCGGUGUUCCUUUCUGAGAUGUGGAUGAUAUGGUCUGAGGUUGACCUGACUAGAACUUUCAGUACUCUGAAAGUGCGAAAGAUCAGAUGAAAAGGAAAGAGAAUUAAAUGAAGGAGUUGCUCAGCCCGGCCGUGCCUCGUCUCUUGAUCCAGAUGGUGAACUUCCUGUCUUUUUUGCAACGUGUGUCUGACUGAACAGCAAGCACCCCCACCCUGGCACUUGCCAUUCACAAAGCACUUUCCUAGGAGGAUUAGAAUAGAAUUUCCACUUUACUCUUUGUGCAUAAGAGGGAAUCGUAAAUAAUGAGCUUGGCUUUCACGAAUCAUGUAAUAAUAAAAAGCAUCUCAUCGUCUCUAUGUAUUACAUGUUUGACAUAUUAUAAAGUCAAUAGCAGAUGCCUUUGACAUUGUCAAAGUCU